UACGAAGGGGGCUAGCGUUGUUCGGAAUUACUGGGCGUAAAGCGCACGUAGGCGGAUUUGUAAGUCAGGGGUGAAAUCCCGGGGCUCAACCUCGGAACUGCCUUUGAUACUGCGAGUCUCGAGUCCGAUAGAGGUGGGUGGAAUUCCUAGUGUAGAGGUGAAAUUCGUAGAUAUUAGGAGGAACACCGGUGGCGAAGGCGGCCCACUGGAUCGGUACUGACGCUGAGGUGCGAAAGCGUGGGGAGCAAACAGG
rnacentral:rRNA from 1 species